AUGGGAAGCAGCUAGGAAAUAAGGGUUUUCCUGCUGAGCCCAAGAGGUGGAAUUUCUGGGGUCUUCCUGAUGGUUCAAGUGGUCCUCCUCCUGCCUCGGGCUCCUUCAGGGACAUUCAAACACGUUCAGCUACAAGAGAGAAUUGAUGACAACUCUGUGAAUCCAGGUCAGCAUUUCUGUGGGAUUUAUGAGACAUGCUUGGACACUGGAGUGACAGGGGAAAGCGAGCCAAAUUAAUGACAACUGCCAAAAAAGUAGAGCAAAAAAGGUAUACUUUCCCCUGUGUGUCAGAAGCU